GUGGGGAAUCUUGCGCAAUGGGCGGAAGCCUGACGCAGCCAUGCCGCGUGAAUGAUGAAGGUCUUAGGAUUGUAAAAUUCUUUCACCGGGGACGAUAAUGACGGUACCCGGAGAAGAAGCUCCGGCUAACUUCGUGCCAGCAGCCGCGGUAAUACGAAGGGGGCUAGCGUUGCUCGGAAUUACUGGGCGUAAAGGGCGCGUAGGCGGACAGCUUAGUCAGAGGUGAAAGCCCAGGGCUCAACCUUGGAAUUGCCUUUGAUACUGGCUGUCUUGAGUUUGGGAGAGGUGAGUGGAACUCCGAGUGUAGAGGUGAAAUUCGUAGAUAUUCGGAAGAACACCAGUGGCGAAGGCGACUCACUGGCCCAAUACUGACGCUGAGGCGCGAAAGCGUGGGGAGCAAACAGGAUUAGAAACCCCAGUAGUCC
rnacentral:rRNA from 1 species